GACGAACGCUGGCGGCGUGCUUAACACAUGCAAGUCGAACGGAAAGGCCCUGCUUUUGUGGGGUGCUCGAGUGGCGAACGGGUGAGUAACACGUGAGUAACCUGCCCUUGACUUUGGGAUAACUUCAGGAAACUGGGGCUAAUACCGGAUAGGAGCUCCUGCUGCAUGGUGGGGGUUGGAAAGUUUCGGCGGUUGGGGAUGGACUCGCGGCUUAUCAGCUUGUUGGUGGGGUAGUGGCUUACCAAGGCUUUGAGGGGUAGCCGGCCUGAGAGGGUGACCGGCAACAUUGGGACGGGGAACCGGCCCGGACUCCUACGGGAGGCAGCAGUGGGGAAUAUUGCAAAAUGGGCGGAAGCCUGAUGCAGCAACGCCGCGUGCGGGAUGACGGCCUUCGGGUUGUAACCCGCUUUCGCCUGUGACGAAGCGUGAGUGACGGUAAUGGGUAAAGAAGCACCGGCUAACUACGUG
rnacentral:rRNA from 1 species